rnacentral:rRNA from 1 species
CCGGGUGCGUAACGCGUAUGCAACCUGCCGUCUACUCUUGGACAGCCUUCUGAAAGGAAGAUUAAUACAAGAUGGCAUCAUGAGUCCGCAUGUUCACAUGAUUAAAGGUAUUCCGGUAGACGAUGGGGAUGCGUUCCAUUAGAUAGUAGGCGGGGUAACGGCCCACCUAGUCUUCGAUGGAUAGGGGUUCUGAGAGGAAGGUCCCCCACAUUGGAACUGAGACACGGUCCAA